GACGAACGCUGGCGGCGUGCUUAACACAUGCAAGUCGAACGGAAAGGCCCUGCUUUUGUGGGGUGCUCGAGUGGCGAACGGGUGAGUAACACGUGAGUAACCUGCCCUUGACUUUGGGAUAACUUCAGGAAACUGGGGCUAAUACCGGAUAGGAGCUCCUGCUGCAUGGUGGGGGUUGGAAAGUUUCGGCGGUUGGGGAUGGACUCGCGGCUUAUCAGCUUGUUGGUGGGGUAGUGGCUUACCAAGGCUUUGACGGGUAGCCGGCCUGAGAGGGUGACCGGCGACAUUGGGACUGAGAUACGGCCCAGACUCCUACGGGAGGCAGCAGUGGGGAAUAUUGCACAAUGGGCGGAAGCCUGAUGCAGCAACGCCGCGUGCGGGAUGACGGCCUUCGGGUUGUAAACCGCUUUCGCCUGUGACGAAGCGUGAGUGACGGUAAUGGGUAAAGAAGCACCGGAUAACUACGUG
rnacentral:rRNA from 1 species